GGGUUGUGAGGUUAAGCGACUAAGCGUACACGGUGGAUGCCCUGGCAGUCAGAGGCGAUGAAGGACGUGCUAAUCUGCGAUAAGCGUCGGUAAGGUGAUAUGAACCGUUAUAACCGGCGAUUUCCGAAUGGGGAAACCCAGUGUGUUUCGACACACUAUCAUUAACUGAAUCCAUAGGUUAAUGAGGCGAACCGGGGGAACUGAAACAUCUAAGUACCCCGAGGAAAAGAAAUCAACCGAGAUUCCCCCAGUAGCGGCGAGCGAACGGGGAGGAGCCCAGAGCCUGAAUCAGUGUGUGUGUUAGUGGAAGCGUCUGGAAAGGCGCGCGAUACAGGGUGACAGCCCCGUACACAAAAAUGCACAUGCUGUGAGCUCGAUGAGUAGGGCGGGACACGUGGUAUCCUGUCUGAAUAUGGGGGGACCAUCCUCCAAGGCUAAAUACUCCUGACUGACCGAUAGUGAACCAGUACCGUGAGGGAAAGGCGAAAAGAACCCCGGCGAGGGGAGUGAAAAAGAACCUGAAACCGUGUACGUACAAGCAGUGGGAGCCUCUUUAUGGGGUGACUGCGUACCUUUUGUAUAAUGGGUCAGCGACUUAUAUUCUGUAGCAAGGUUAACCGAAUAGGGGAGCCGAAGGGAAACCGAGUCUUAACUGGGCGUUAAGUUGCAGGGUAUAGACCCGAAACCCGGUGAUCUAGCCAUGGGCAGGUUGAAGGUUGGGUAACACUAACUGGAGGACCGAACCGACUAAUGUUGAAAAAUUAGCGGAUGACUUGUGGCUGGGGGUGAAAGGCCAAUCAAACCGGGAGAUAGCUGGUUCUCCCCGAAAGCUAUUUAGGUAGCGCCUCGUGAAUUCAUCUCCGGGGGUAGAGCACUGUUUCGGCAAGGGGGUCAUCCCGACUUACCAACCCGAUGCAAACUGCGAAUACCGGAGAAUGUUAUCACGGGAGACACACGGCGGGUGCUAACGUCCGUCGUGAAGAGGGAAACAACCCAGACCGCCAGCUAAGGUCCCAAAGUCAUGGUUAAGUGGGAAACGAUGUGGGAAGGCCCAGACAGCCAGGAUGUUGGCUUAGAAGCAGCCAUCAUUUAAAGAAAGCGUAAUAGCUCACUGGUCGAGUCGGCCUGCGCGGAAGAUGUAACGGGGCUAAACCAUGCACCGAAGCUGCGGCAGCGACGCUUAUGCGUUGUUGGGUAGGGGAGCGUUCUGUAAGCCUGCGAAGGUGUGCUGUGAGGCAUGCUGGAGGUAUCAGAAGUGCGAAUGCUGACAUAAGUAACGAUAAAGCGGGUGAAAAGCCCGCUCGCCGGAAGACCAAGGGUUCCUGUCCAACGUUAAUCGGGGCAGGGUGAGUCGACCCCUAAGGCGAGGCCGAAAGGCGUAGUCGAUGGGAAACAGGUUAAUAUUCCUGUACUUGGUGUUACUGCGAAGGGGGGACGGAGAAGGCUAUGUUGGCCGGGCGACGGUUGUCCCGGUUUAAGCGUGUAGGCUGGUUUUCCAGGCAAAUCCGGAAAAUCAAGGCUGAGGCGUGAUGACGAGGCACUACGGUGCUGAAGCAACAAAUGCCCUGCUUCCAGGAAAAGCCUCUAAGCAUCAGGUAACAUCAAAUCGUACCCCAAACCGACACAGGUGGUCAGGUAGAGAAUACCAAGGCGCUUGAGAGAACUCGGGUGAAGGAACUAGGCAAAAUGGUGCCGUAACUUCGGGAGAAGGCACGCUGAUAUGUAGGUGAAGCGACUUGCUCGUGGAGCUGAAAUCAGUCGAAGAUACCAGCUGGCUGCAACUGUUUAUUAAAAACACAGCACUGUGCAAACACGAAAGUGGACGUAUACGGUGUGACGCCUGCCCGGUGCCGGAAGGUUAAUUGAUGGGGUUAGCGGUAACGCGAAGCUCUUGAUCGAAGCCCCGGUAAACGGCGGCCGUAACUAUAACGGUCCUAAGGUAGCGAAAUUCCUUGUCGGGUAAGUUCCGACCUGCACGAAUGGCGUAAUGAUGGCCAGGCUGUCUCCACCCGAGACUCAGUGAAAUUGAACUCGCUGUGAAGAUGCAGUGUACCCGCGGCAAGACGGAAAGACCCCGUGAACCUUUACUAUAGCUUGACACUGAACAUUGAGCCUUGAUGUGUAGGAUAGGUGGGAGGCUUUGAAGUGUGGACGCCAGUCUGCAUGGAGCCGGCCUUGAAAUACCACCCUUUAAUGUUUGAUGUUCUAACGUUGGCCCCUGAUCGGGGUUGCGGACAGUGUCUGGUGGGUAGUUUGACUGGGGCGGUCUCCUCCUAAAGAGUAACGGAGGAGCACGAAGGUUGGCUAAUCCUGGUCGGACAUCAGGAGGUUAGUGCAAUGGCAUAAGCCAGCUUGACUGCGAGCGUGACGGCGCGAGCAGGUGCGAAAGCAGGUCAUAGUGAUCCGGUGGUUCUGAAUGGAAGGGCCAUCGCUCAACGGAUAAAAGGUACUCCGGGGAUAACAGGCUGAUACCGCCCAAGAGUUCAUAUCGACGGCGGUGUUUGGCACCUCGAUGUCGGCUCAUCACAUCCUGGGGCUGAAGUAGGUCCCAAGGGUAUGGCUGUUCGCCAUUUAAAGUGGUACGCGAGCUGGGUUUAGAACGUCGUGAGACAGUUCGGUCCCUAUCUGCCGUGGGCGCUGGAGAACUGAGGGGGGCUGCUCCUAGUACGAGAGGACCGGAGUGGACGCAUCACUGGUGUUCGGGUUGUCAUGCCAAUGGCACUGCCCGGUAGCUAAAUGCGGAAGAGAUAAGUGCUGAAAGCAUCUAAGCACGAAACUUGCCCCGAGAUGAGUUCUCCCUGAGACUUUAAGUCUCCUGAAGGAACGUUGAAGACGACGACGUUGAUAGGCCGGGUGUGUAAGCGCAGCGAUGCGUUGAGCUAACCGGUACUAAUGAACCGUGAGGCUUAACCUUACAACGCCGAAGGUGUUU
rnacentral:rRNA from 1 species